rnacentral:lncRNA from 1 species
GUUUACAAUUUUCUAAUAUCACCAAUCAGAAAUAUGUUUGGGGAGGGGUUUGGGGGUCAGGGUAACAUGAAUCAUUUCUGUACUGCUUUUCAUAUCACCUGCGUUGGUUCUAAGAAAAAAGCCUUCCAGCCUCCAUUAACAAAGCUACUAAUAGGGCCGGGGAUCUAGCUCAGUGGUUCUGGCACCUGCUGAGCAAGCGCAAGGUCCCGAGUUCGAUCCCCGGUACCAAAAACAAAAAAACAAAGCUACUAAUAAUCUGUUUUAUCAUCUUUCUUCCUUCUCCCUCUCCCCCUCCCAUUUAAUCUUCAAUUAAUUUUUAGGCUCUAGACUACAGAAGUUUUAAAUACACUGCACCAAAGCAGAAAGAUUUGCAUAGAUGCUAUAUGCAAGUGGUUUUGCUGGACAUAGAUGGGGAAUUGUCCAUUCCUUAACAUUUAGGGCAGCAGGGUUGGCAGUAAAAUGUAAUUUCUAAAUUUGGCAGUAAUGUGUAUUUCUGAUUGGUCAUUCUAUUUAGCCUAUUUCUUCUUGCAUAUUCUUGUGAGGGGGAGAAGGGAAGGGUCCUUGUUUCUUCUCAUGCCCUUUGGGGACACUAAUGAUCAGUCUGGGCAUUUCUCACUAUUAUUCUUGAUCAAGAGGGGUUCUCAGUCUGCAUUGAAAAAUGCAAAUUAAACUGGACCUUUAUGUCAAGGUGUACAUAGUACAAGCUUUUUUUUUUUUUUAACUGGAAAUGAGGUUUAAAACCACACACUACCCUUUUGGUGGUGUUCCCACUGGGCCAAAAAUUGGUUGAUAAUGUCACUUUUUCAGCUCAAUGCAGUUUCUAUUUUUUCUUAUGGGAAAAUUUUUUCAUAAAACCUUUUUUCACUAAAACGCAGGGGUGUUUUUUGCAAUAUCCUUGUUGUCCUUGUAGUGGUGCCAAGUCAGAGGCUUCUCUUGCCCUUUUCCUCUCAUGUUCUCAGGCCUCUCAAAGGCUGUUUGACUCAACAGUCUACAUCUUUUGUUGUAUUUUGGCGAAAGUGGGGGUGGGAUCAGAGUUCAAGGUAGCUGUUCCCUUUUCCUGUGAACUCCCCCUAGUCUCUUUUCCAGAAAGUGGCUAGAAACAGGUUUUAGUUCAGUCUCUUGCAGAAAUCUUCUAGCCAGGAAAGGCAAGAGCCCCAGAGAGCCCUUUUUUGACACACAUUAAUCAUUGGCUGGUAGUCUUGGUGACAGUUUUUUAAAUCUUAAAUAGUUUUAUUUGGAUUAUGUAAAAGUCUAUCAAAUUUAUUUAAGUGUGAAACAUGGGAACAACAGACUUCCACUGAGCGAUAUGAAAACGUUACAGGUUCAGUACUUCCAAAGGAAGAAACCUCCAAAUCCAAAAAAGAAUAAAUAUGAAUUUGUAUUUUUGAAGAAUGUGAAAUAAUGGUGUUUGCUUAAAUGCUCAUUUUGUAUAAACUUAAUAUUGUACUUUAAAAUAUCUGCUAAGAAGUGAAAAUUUAACAUUUUGGAAUUGAAGAAGCAAUAUUAAAUACUAAUGAAAU